AUGGCUCUGGGCUGGAGCAAGGCUUUCCUUAGAGAAGCCAGUCCCCUUCCCCUUGCCCCCGCACUGCUGUCCCCCUGGGCCACGCUGCCCCCACAGCCUCUGCCUGCUGUGUGGAGGCAACGAGGGGCGGCCUGCUGCUGGUGGAGGCCGGGGGAGCGGCUGCUCUGGCUAGGAGUGGGACAAUUAAUGUCCUCCGUCAGGGCGGCAAGUCUCCAGACUUUGAGAAACAUCCCGGGGUUGGGCCGUGCCUGCCUGUUCCUGCAGUGGCUGAAAUACAGCCUUAUCCUGAGGGAAAUGGCGGUGAGAGGCGGCUGCCGGCUGGGAAAGGGGGGAGGCCUUGUGGCUGCGGAGAGCAGGAGCUGCUGCCGGCUGCUGUGGUGCGAAACGAAGAAGCACUUGUGUCCCAACUUCUUCAGGAGCUUAAAAAGACCUUCCUCUUGCUUCAGAGAUAAGUGUUAAAAGUGAUUCCAAGCUCCUGAUACAAGGAUGGUAUAAGCCACUGGGGGAACACUGCGAUGAUGAUGCCUCUGGAAGCUGCUGCUUCUCAGCUUGCUCAGUAUCUGGGUUAAAAACAGCCCCCAGAUAAUAUAAGUGCAUUACCUAAUGUGAUUCAGAGUAAACAAUUUUUGUAUUGAUGGCUUUCUUCCUGUAUUAAUGAAAACACAAUUCACCACUCUAAUGGGGACAUCACUUAAAUUACACUGGAACUGCUAGUGUAGAGGCAGGUUGUUAAUAAAGUAAAACUAUUGUGUGCUGAUGACA
rnacentral:lncRNA from 1 species